CAACCCUCCAGCAUCCAGAUUACCCUUCGAAGACGGCAAAGAAAAAGAGAGCUCUGAAAUCACUCAACGCAUAGGAGCUGGUUCUAUAAUUUUUAGACUUUAAUUAAAUCAAUUAUUAAAGCCUUUCUUAAUGCCUUGCUGAGAUAUUCAGGCUCGGGCUGCCUCAGGAGAGAGGAAGUGGUUGAAUGCACAGAGGUGGCUAAUAAGAGGGGACACAACAUUCCAGAAUCCCACAGGAAAGAUUCUACCAUCUCCACAGCUGCCCUCGCCGCAGUCCUCCCUACUGUUGGAGAAGAUGCCCCCAAUAACUGGGGUGUCUCGAGCUAGUGGACACAUCAUGGAGCUGGGUGAGGCCAGAGGACCUUCCUAGAAAAGGGAAUAUUUCUCUCUCUCUCUUAGUGAUCUGCCUGGGUCAGGAGUUUGGGAUCACUGGCAAGUUGAACAGGUCCUGUGGAUCUUUUCUAGCCUCUGUGUGCCCUAGAGAAGGAGGGCUGGCUCACAUCUCCCUGUGGCCGUAUUCAGAAAUAACUGGGGAAUAGAACACAGUGUAUUGGCUCGUACAGAGUCCACGGUGAGGGGCCGUGGCCAUACCUGCUGCCUUGUUGACCUUGGUUUGCAGAGUGGACUGUGUCAUUAAGAUCCUCCCAUGGCCUCAUCCUGUGCUGGCCAUCGCUAUGCGUCCAGUAAGGAGGUAGAACACUGGAUGAGCCACAGAAAGCACACAGGACUUUGCUGUGGAAGAGUCAAAGAUCCACGUGGGAGCAUCCCGUAGGGUAAGGACAGGUCCAGAUCCUGAGUUCAGACCACCAAGGAGCAGGGAGAGGGAGGAUUUACUUGCAUUUCAGCUUUGUUAGGGGAAGACCCAGCACUGCAUCCACUGAUACACACCUUGGGGAGUCUGCCAGAAUACAAAGGAAUGACAAACACCCUUUGAAAUCUAUUCGUCUGACUCUCUAGAUUUACAUACAUAAUAUUCUUUCCUGACAUUCAUUUCCACCCAUAACAACAGUAACAAACUUGUUCUGUUUGAGACAAUGCCAUUCUCCUUAUUUCAAACAAAAAAUGUGCUCACUCCCUCACCAAUGGGUGACAACAGUUACUGACCGCAUCCAUCCUCAAUCCUGAAUGUUCAUUCAUUCUCAAGUUCCACUUGCACCGUAGUUGCGUUAUUCUGAAACCUAUGAACUAAAUUACAGUUAACUGUAAACAAACCGUAUAUAUAAUAGUGAGAGAGAAGAGAGAGGAAUCAAACAAAAAUUAAUUAACUCAUAAAUAUAUACAUGACACAGCAGGAAGGAGAGGAUACAGUCUGGAUUUCUGCAGCUGUUCAUGAGGCCAAAGCUGAUAUUUAAGACUUCUUUUUAUUAUCAGGUUUAUUUUGCUUUCAGCCAACACCUCAAAUGGUCUGAAGUCUUUAUACACGAGGGCUUCCCAAAUAUUAAUUCUUCAUAAACCUGACAGCUUGUUGGUCCUGUCUGUAGAAGAUGGUGUUAGUCAGAGUUCUCCAGAGAAAGAGGAACAACAGGAUGUGUAUAUGUAGUGCACACAUAAAGAGACUUAUUUUAAGGAAUUGGUUCAUGCAGUUGUGGAAGUUGGCUACUCCAAAAUCUGCAGGGUUGACUGGCAGGCUGGAGAUCUAAGGAAGAGCCAAGACUGCAGUUCAAGUCUGAAGACUGUCUGCCACAGAAUUCCUUUUUGCUCUGGAGAGGUUAGGCUGAUUUAUUCAGUCCUUCGACUGAUUAGAUGAGGCCCACCCACAUUACAGAAGGCAAUUUGCUUUACUGAAAGUCCACCAAUUUAAAUGCUAAUCUUAUCUAAAAAUAUCCACACAGAAACAUGCAGAAUAAUGGCUGCAUGUUAAUAAGGACAGUACAUCUGGAACAGCUGCUGCUGAAAUCAGGACUCACAAUGUCCCAUGAGAGUGAGAACUUACUGCCACAAGAUGGCAUUAAUCUGUCAAUGAGGGACCCACCCCCAGACUCAAACAUUUUCACUAGACUUCACCCCUCAACACUGCCAUAUGGGGAAGGAAAUUUCAACACAAGUUUUGGUAAGAACAAACCACAUCCAAAUCCUAGUAGCAUACAAUUAUUAUAGUCUUAU
rnacentral:lncRNA from 10 species